UCGAGCGGAAAGGCCCUUCGGGGUACUCGAGCGGCGAACGGGUGAGUAACACGUGAGCAACCUGCCCUAGGCUUUGGGAUAACCCCGGGAAACCGGGGCUAAUACCGAAUAGGACCUCUGACCGCAUGGUUGGUGGUGGAAAGUUUUUCGGCCUGGGAUGGGCUCGCGGCCUAUCAGCUUGUUGGUGGGGUGAUGGCCUACCAAGGCGACGACGGGUAGCCGGCCUGAGAGGGCGACCGGCCACACUGGGACUGAGACACGGCCCAGACUCCUACGGGAGGCAGCAGUGGGGAAUAUUGCACAAUGGGCGGAAGCCUGAUGCAGCGACGCCGCGUGAGGGAUGACGGCCUUCGGGUUGUAAACCUCUUUCAGCAGGGACGAAGCGUAAGUGACGGUACCUGCAGAAGAAGCGCCGGCCAACUACGUGCCAGCAGCCGCGGUAAGACGUAGGGCGCGAGCGUUGUCCGGAUUUAUUGGGCGUAAAGAGCUCGUAGGCGGCUUGUCGCGUCGACUGUGAAAACCCGCAGCUCAACUGCGGGCCUGCAGUCGAUACGGGCAGGCUAGAGUUCGGUAGGGGAGACUGGAAUUCCUGGUGUAGCGGUGAAAUGCGCAGAUAUCAGGAGGAACACCGGUGGCGAAG
rnacentral:rRNA from 1 species